GAUGUGUUAAGAUGAGCCUACCUAAUCUAUCCACUUAGCAGGCAGGGAAACUGAUACUUCGUAAUAAGAAAAAUAAAUUUAAAAAUUGUAUUUGGGAAUGUUGGAAUCCCUAUAAUUAAGGAUAGAAAUCUGAUGGUAUUGGAAUCCCUAUAAUUAAGGAUAGAAAUCUGUUGUGAUCUCUUGUAAAUAGAAACUAAUCUCAGUUAUUGAUUCUUAGGAAAUUAGGAUAUCAAUUACUGAUUCUUAGGGAUUAGAAUUUAUUUCCUUUAAAAUGAUUAUUUUUCUCUUUAUAAAGCUGUAAACUAAAGCAGUAGCAAUAUAACAGAAUUUUUCCUCUGAGUGUUUUUACAUGGCAUCAGGGCUAUAGGAUUCAUUCGAUCCUAUUUUUUUCUCUAAAUUCCCUUACUAAAAAUUUCUGUGGUUUAGUCCUCCAAUGGGUGAUAUCAAUGAGAAUUUCUCUGAAACUGAGACAUCACAAAUAACUCAGAAUAUCAAUCAGGGAAUCACUCAAGGUGAAAUUAAUUCCACCCUUAUAAUCACCAAUCAUCGGCUAAAUGGGAAGAACUCCUUGCAAUGGUCUCAAUCGGUUCUUAUGGUGAUUCGUGGUCGUGGCAAAUUAGGGUACAUCAAUGGAAAAAUCCCACGACCAACCAUGGCUGAUCCUACUUAUGCCACUUGGGAACUCAACAAUUCAAUUGUAAUGGCUUGGCUAAUCAAUUCGAUGGAAGGCCAUAUAAGCCGCACCUAUCUUUUUUUCAAAACUGCAAAAGACAUGUGGGAUGCAGUCAAAGAAAACUACUCAGAUCUUGGAAACGCCUCCCAAGUAUUUGAAAUCAAGCUUAAGUUAAAGGACAUCCGACAAGGAACACUCGAGGUAACUCACUACUAUAACAAUUUGAAAAUUUUGUGGCAAGAACUGGAUAUGUAUUAUGAGGCAGAUUGGGGUGAAGGCUUAGAACACAACAGGUUUAUGGUCCAUCUCAACAAUGAACGUCUUUAUGAGUUUUUAGCAGGACUGAACCGUGAGUUAGAUGAGGUCCGUGGCCGAAUUCUGGGUAGAUCACCUCUUCCAACGAUCGGUGAAGCAUUUGCAGAAGUUAGAAGAGAAGAAAAGCGUCGUCUUGUCAUGAUGGGAGAUUCAAAGGAACCUAAACCUAUGACUCCAAUUUCUAAUCGUCCUACUGAAACCUCUGCUCUCAUCUCCAAAGGUCCACAGCCACAAAAACGUGCUGGAAAUGAUUCUGGAUCAACAAGACCAUGGUGUAGUCACUGCAAUCGUGUUGGUCAUACAAAAGAAAAAUGCUUCAAACUCCAUGGCUAUCCUGAAAAAAACAGAAGGAUAAUAAGACUGCCAUGUUAUCCUCCACUACUGCUGAUGAUGUUCUUGAUGUUCGCUUAACCAAAACACAGCUUGAGACUUUCCAUAAGAUACUUGGUACUCCCACUACUCAUGGAUCUCUAGCAACUCAAGGUACUGCCCUCAACAUUGCUUUUGAAUCUAAUAAUCAAUCUCAUUGGAUACUCGAUUCGGGCGCCUCUGAUCACAUGACAGGUGACUCUACGUUGUUUCACACCUACACUCCUUGUCAUAACAAAUCCCGAAUCCGACGGUUCUUACUCACCUGUGGCUGGAAUAGGAGAAGUACAAAUGACAGAGAAUUUUUCUCUCGAUAAAGUCCUACAUGUUCCAAACAUGUCCUGUAAUUUACUUUCAAUUAGUAAACUUACUAAGGAUGAAAAAGUUCUUGCUGAAUUUUCUGCAAUUGGUUGUGUAAUACAAGAACAGAAAUCGGGGAGGAUGAUUGGCACUGCUAAAGUUGAUGAUGGACUAUAUAUUUGGAAUAAAAACAGUACACAAGGGGGAUUGGCUCUAUCCACUGCAAAAGAGGACACUAUUAUGUUAUGGCACCGUAGGUUAGGACAUCCAAACUUUGUGUAUUUGAAAAAACAUCUUCCGCUGUUAUUUCGAAAUAAAAGUAUUAAUUCCUUGAAGUGUGAAAUUUGCCAAUUAUCUAAACAUACCCGUGUGCCAUACCCAUUAAAACCACAUAUUCAGUCCCAACCUUUUUCGUUAAUCCAUAGUGACCUAUGGGGAGCCAGCCGAGUGAAAAAUAUUACAGGGGCUAGAUGGUUUAUAACAUUCAUUGAUGAUCAUACUAGGGUCUGUUGGGUCUAUCUACUCAAAGAAAAAUCUGAAACACCCAAAGUAUUCCAAAAUUUUCACUCAAUGGUUCGAACCCAAUUCAACUCUACCAUACAUACCCUCCGUACUGACAAUGGGAGAGAAUACUUCAACUCUGUCUUAAGUCCAUACCUUUCUGACCAAGGCAUUAUACACCAAAGCUCUUGUCCUGACACUCCUCAACAAAACGGGAUCUCUGAGAGGAAAAAUCGUCAUCUUCUUGAUGUGGCUCGAGCCAUAAUGUUCACUAUGAAUGUUCCAAAAUACUUGUGGGGAGAAGCUGUCCUUACUGCCUGCUAUCUCAUAAACCGAAUGCCAUCAAAGAUCCUCAAUUUCCAAACACCUCUAAAUACUCUUUUAAAGGCCUUCCCUCUAUUUCAUGUCCCUAAUCUUCCAGCCAAAAUAUUCGACUGUAAAGCUUUUGUCCAUAACCAUCAACCAAAUCAAUCCAAACUUGAUCCUCGAGCCCACACCUGUAUCUUCAUUGGAUAUUCCCCUACACAAAAAGGCUAUAAGUGUUACUCACCAACAUUGCGCCGAAUGUUCGUCUCUCGAGAUGUUACCUUCUUUGAAAAUGAACCAUACUUUGCAGCAUCUCAUCUUCAGGGGGAGAUUUUUAAUGAAGAUGAGACCCUUAAUACUCUCCUCAUUAUACCGCCUGAUCCUACUACUACUAUCCCAGAUUUAGUUGUUUCCCCUAUACAGCAAGAAUUUAACACCGUCCUUCCCAAUGACAAUACCUCCACCGAAGUACAACAGCCACUUGAUCAAGGAAAACAGCAAAUACAGGUUUACUCCCGACGAAAUCGUUCUCCUGAAACUGAUACAGCAGUGCCAAUUACAUCUCCAACCGAGGACUGUUCUGAAGCAGAAGUCCCACCUCUGUCACCAUCCAUCUAUCUUCCAAUUGCAGUUCGAAAGGGUACAAUGAGCUGCACUCAACAUCCUAUUUCUCGGUUUGUAUCCUAUGAAAAUUUAUCUAAGUCUUACAAAGCUUUUGUGACUAAUGUUGAUUCUGUAAAAAUUCCAAAAAAUAUAGAAGAGGCUCUUGAAUCAGCUGAGUGGAAACAAGCCAUGAUGGAAGAAAUGAAGGCCCUCAAAAACAAUGAAACAUGGGAAGUCUCGGAUCUGCCUAAAGGGAAAAAAACCGUAGGGUGCAAAUGGAUUUUCACUACGAAAUUUAAACCUGAUGGCCGUAUUGACCGAUACAAAGCUCGACUUGUGGCUAAGGGAUUCACCCAAACUUAUGGUCUCGACUACAACGAGACGUUCGCACCGGUUGCCAAGCUAAACACCGUUCGGGUCCUGCUAUCUCUUGCUGCCAACCUUGAUUGGCACUUGACUCAAUUGGAUGUAAAAAAUGCUUUUCUCAACGGGGAAUUAAAUGAGGUGUAUAUGGAUUUCCCACCAGGGUUUGAAGAAAACAAGGACCAAGUGUGUAAGUUGAAGAAGUCCUUGUAUGGGCUGAAACAAUCUCCACGAGCGUGGUUCAGCCGAUUUGCAAAAGCUAUGACUAGCAGAAAUUACAUUCAAGGACAGGCAGACCACACCAUGUUCUACAAGCACUCGGAAGAGGGUAAAUGCUGCAUCCUUAUCGUUUAUGUUGACGAUAUAAUAAUAACAGGAAAUGACUCGAGCGAAAUUUUGAGAUUGAAAGAAUUUCUUGGUACAGAGUUUGAACUUAAAGACUUGGGGAGUCUUAAAUAUUUUCUUGGUAUGGACGUAGCAAGGUCGAAAAAAGGUAUCUUCAUUUCCCAAAGGAAAUAUGUUCUUGAUCUACUGUCGGAAGUUGGUUUGAUGGGCAGCAAACCAGCCGAAACUCCUAUGGAGUUUAACCUCAAAUUGGGAACUAAUGAGGAUGGAGAAGAAAUCGACAGGGGGAGAUAUCAACGUCUAGUAGGAAGGCUCAUCUACCUAUCUCACACCCGUCCAGACAUAGCCUUCAGUGUGUGUUAUUAGCCAGUAUAUGCAUGCCACGAGGGAGAAGCACCUGGAAGCUGCAUAUAGAAUACUAAGAUACCUAAAAGGAACUCCUGGUAAAGGCCUGUACUUCAAGAAGACUAUCAACCGAAGCGUGGAAGUCUACACUGAUGCAGACUGGGCAGGUUCUGUUAAUGAUAGACGCUCUACAAGCGGCUAUUGUAGUUAUGUUUGGGGUAAUCUCGUGACGUGGAGGAGCAAAAAACAAUCUGUGGUAGCACGCAGCAGUGCAGAGGCAGAGUAUCGAGCACUAUCUCAUGGUAUAUGCGAAGGAGUUUGGAUACAAAGACUUAUGGGAGAACUAAAAGUGCCUUUUACCAGACCUAUGAAGAUGUACUGUGACAACCAGGCUGCUGUCAGCAUAUCACAUAAUCCUGUGCAUCAUGAUCGGACCAAACAUGUGGAAAUAGAUCGUCACUUUAUAAAAGAAAAAGUACACUCAGGAGAAGUAUGCAUCAUCUACCUACCUACUAGACAACAAGUUGCAGACAUGUUAACCAAAAGUUUGAACAGAAACAUGUUUGAAGAACUUAGUGGCAAGCUGGGUUUGAUUAACAUCUACACUCCAACUUGAGGGGGAGUGUUGGAAUCCCUAUAAUUAAGGAUAGAAAUCUGAUGGUAUUGGAAUCCCUAUAAUUAAGGAUAGAAAUCUGUUGUGAUCUCUUGUAAAUAGAAACUAAUCUCAGUUACUGAUUCUUAGGAAAUUAGGAUAUCAAUUACUGAUUCUUAGGGAUUAGGAUUUAUUUCCUUUAAAAUGAUUAUUUUUCUCUUUAUAAAGCUGUAAACUAAAGCAGUAGCAAUAUAACAGAAUUUUUCCUCUGAGUGUUUUUACAGGGAAGAGAAAAAGAAAGCUGGAUUUGAUCAUUUUUACAUAAAAGACAUGCAUCUUAGAUUCUAUAAUUUUUAUAAUAGUUUGAUUUGAAUUUUUGUCACAACCCCAUGACUAAGUUGGUACCACUUUCUUUGUGAUACAAAGCUUGGUCAAAGUUCUAUUAAUAUAUAGAUUUUUUUUUCAAUUCCUAUGAACUGUUUUUACUAGUAUCAUUAGCAUAGAUCUAGCUUCAACAAAGUUAAGACAUGUAAAUUUCAAUAGACCCUCAUGAGACACUCAAAUAUUGAAACCUCAUAUGUACCAUGAAAACAGUCCUCGGUAUCAGAAG
rnacentral:lncRNA from 1 species